rnacentral:rRNA from 1 species
AACGCGAAGAACCUUACCCACCUUUGACAUGGUCGGAACCCUUUAGAGAUAGAGGGGUGCUCGAAAGAGAGCCGAUACACAGGUGCUGCAUGGCUGUCGUCAGCUCGUGUCGUGAGAUGUUGGGUUAAGUCCCGCAACGAGCGCAACCCUUGUCAUUAGUUGCUACGAAAGGGCACUCUAAUGAGACUGCCGGUGACAAACCGGAGGAAGGUGGGGAUGACGUCAAGUCCUCAUGGCCCUUAUAGGUGGGGCUACACACGUCAUACAAUGGCUGGUACAAAGGGUUGCCAACCCGCGAGGGGGAGCUAAUCCCAUAAAGCCAGUCGUAGUCCGGAUCGCAGUCUGCAACUCGACUGCGUGAAGUCGGAAUCGCUAGUAAUCGUGGAUCAGAAUGUCACGGUGAAUACGUUCCCGGGUCUUGUACACACCG